rnacentral:tRNA from 2 species
UCUCCGUUAGUACAGUGGUUAGUAUGUCCGCCUUUCAUCACAAUUGUGUGUCAUCUGAAAGAUAGGCGCGGGAGGCCCGGGUUCGAUUCCCGGACGGAGAA